ACUCUAAAAACUAUAUGCCUAUGGGGAUACUUACAAAUCUACUUAGUAAGAACGGUGAUCUUAUGCCCAGUAAAAUGGUCUUUACGUAUAGCGUUCUCAUUCGUUGGCAGAUUGAUUAUGCCGAAUAUUCCAAAUAUCUUUGGACCGUUUUAAAGGCAUUUUUUCAUAUUCAACAUCAGCUAGGAAAUAGCUAUACUGUGGGGCAAAACUCUGCGAUCAAGUUCUUUAAAAUUAUGGCAUUAUAUUCUCUGGUAAGCGUUAAAGAUGUCCUCAUUUAACUCUGAAAGUAGAACAAGAUCCUCUAAUCCACAGCUAUUAUCAUGACGAUAUGCUUUCCUUAAUGAAGCAUAUUCUAAUAAGUCAGUUACCUGAGAUGGUAACUGACUUCGUUAUCAGCGAUUCAGGCUAAGUAUAGGCCUGGUUGCACAUUGAAUCGUAGGAUUCGUUAACCAGUUUUGUGGGAGAAGAUCUAUUCUUGUUGCUGGAGAUUUGGACUCUCCGCAAGUGCCCCACGAACAAUCCAAAUUAUUUAAUUCACCUAUUCUGGAUUUAAAUAAUAAUUCUAUUGACUUGAUUCUAUCCGGAUCUUUUGUCAUAUAACCAAUUGGCAAACUAAUCCCACUAUCCGUAUUAGGUUGCCCAUGGUACUGUAUAAGUCCGAAUAUUCCAGGGAUUAAAAAUAACUCAACUCGAUCCAACUCUAGUGGAGUAGAUAAUCCGUAUGGGAAUAUAUUUUUUAGGUAUGACCUUACUUCCCAUUUUUUACAUUGAUGUAUUAGAGCUAUUUUUGCAUAGCUGUCUUUUUGCUCAAGGAUAUUUUUUAGAUCCUGCACAAAACGGUCAAUGUCAUCCGAAUUAGCCCCCCAAAAUGGUACACUACUCGGCAUCCAGAGUGCUUUUGACCUGCCCCCACGAUUAGAUACAACACUCAGUUAGUAACGUCGGAAUCUUCAUUCUCAGAAUGACCCUUUCUCCAGCCCGCUGUGAGGGCUGCUGGAGGUAUCAGAAGUGCGAAUGCUGACAUAAGUAACGAUAAAGCGGGUGAAAAGCCCGCUCGCCGGAAGACCAAGGGUUCCUGUCCAACGUUAAUCGGGGCAGGGUGAGUCGACCCCUAAGGCGAGGCCGAAAGGCGUAGUCGAUGGGAAACAGGUUAAUAUUCCUGUACUUGGUGUUACUGCGAAGGGGGGACGGAGAAGGCUAUGUUAGCCGGGCGACGGUUGUCCCGGUUUAAGCAUGUAGGCGGAGGUUCCAGGUAAAUCCGGUACCUUUUAACGCUGAGGUGUGAUGACGAGGCACUACGGUGCUGAAGUAACAAAUGCCCUGCUUCCAGGAAAAGCCUCUAAGCAUCAGGUAACACGAAAUCGUACCCCAAACCGACACAGGUGGUCAGGUAGAGAAUACCAAGGCGCUUGAGAGAACUCGGGUGAAGGAACUAGGCAAAAUGGUGCCGUAACUUCGGGAGAAGGCACGCUGAUAUGUAGGUGAAGCCCCUGCGGGUGGAGCUGAAAUCAGUCGAAGAUACCAGCUGGCUGCAACUGUUUAUUAAAAACACAGCACUGUGCAAACACGAAAGUGGACGUAUACGGUGUGACGCCUGCCCGGUGCCGGAAGGUUAAUUGAUGGGGUUAGCGGCAACGCGAAGCUCUUGAUCGAAGCCCCGGUAAACGGCGGCCGUAACUAUAACGGUCCUAAGGUAGCGAAAUUCCUUGUCGGGUAAGUUCCGACCUGCACGAAUGGCGUAAUGAUGGCCAGGCUGUCUCCACCCGAGACUCAGUGAAAUUGAACUCGCUGUGAAGAUGCAGUGUACCCGCGGCAAGACGGAAAGACCCCGUGAACCUUUACUAUAGCUUGACACUGAACACUGGUCCUUGAUGUGUAGGAUAGGUGGGAGGCUUUGAAGCGUGGACGCCAGUCUGCGUGGAGCCAUCCUUGAAAUACCACCCUUUAAUGGCUGGUGUUCUAACGUAGACCCGUAAUCCGGGUUGCGGACAGUGUCUGGUGGGUAGUUUGACUGGGGCGGUCUCCUCCCAAAGAGUAACGGAGGAGCACGAAGGUUAGCUAAUCCUGGUCGGACAUCAGGAGGUUAGUGCAAUGGCAUAAGCUAGCUUGACUGCGAGAGUGACGGCUCGAGCAGGUGCGAAAGCAGGUCAUAGUGAUCCGGUGGUUCUGAAUGGAAGGGCCAUCGCUCAACGGAUAAAAGGUACUCCGGGGAUAACAGGCUGAUACCGCCCAAGAGUUCAUAUCGACGGCGGUGUUUGGCACCUCGAUGUCGGCUCAUCACAUCCUGGGGCUGAAGUAGGUCCCAAGGGUAUGGCUGUUCGCCAUUUAAAGUGGUACGCGAGCUGGGUUUAGAACGUCGUGAGACAGUUCGGUCCCUAUCUGCCGUGGGCGCUGGAGAAUUGAGGGGGGCUGCUCCUAGUACGAGAGGACCGGAGUGGACGCAUCACUGGUGUUCGGGUUGUCAUGCCAAUGGCACUGCCCGGUAGCUAAAUGCGGAAGAGAUAAGUGCUGAAAGCAUCUAAGCACGAAACUUGCCCCGAGAUGAGUUCUCCCUGAGACUUAAAGUCUCCUGAAGGAACGUUAAAAAAAAAUUGAAGACGCAAAACUUAAAUACUAUACUCAAAAUCAAAAUUGAGUUCCUAUUAUUCUCUCUGGAGUAUUUAUGGCU
rnacentral:rRNA from 1 species